ACGUCAUCCCUUUGACCGUCCUAGAGAUAGGGCUUUCCUUCGGGACAGAGGAGACAGGUGGUGCAUGGUUGUCGUCAGCUCGUGUCGUGAGAUGUUGGGUUAAGUCCCGCAACGAGCGCAACCCUUGAUCUUAGUUGCCAGCACUUUGGGUGGGCACUCUAAGAUGACUGCCGGUGACAAACCGGAGGAAGGUGGGGAUGACGUCUCUUACAGCGUAC
rnacentral:misc_RNA from 1 species